rnacentral:rRNA from 1 species
GAUGAACGCUGGCGGCGUGCCUAAUACAUGCAAGUCGAGCGAACAGACGAGGAGCUUGCUCCUCUGACGUUAGCGGCGGACGGGUGAGUAACACGUGGAUAACCUACCUAUAAGACUGGGAUAACUUCGGGAAACCGGAGCUAAUACCGGAUAAUAUAUUGAACCGCAUGGUUCAAUAGUGAAAGACGGUUUGGCUGUCACUUAUAGAUGGAUCCGCGCCGCAUUAGCUAGUUGGUAAGGUAACGGCUUACCAAGGCAACGAUGCGUAGCCGACCUGAGAGGGUGAUCGGCCACACUGGAACUGAGACACGGUCCAGACUCCUACGGGAGGCAGCAGUAGGGAAUCUUCCGCAAUGGGCGAAAGCCUGACGGAGCAACGCCGCGUGAGUGAUGAAGGUCUUCGGGUCGUAAAACUCUGUUGUUGGGGAAGAACAAAUGUGUAAGUAACUAUGCACGUCUUGACGGUACCUAAUCAGAAAGCCACGGCUAACUACGUG